rnacentral:rRNA from 1 species
GACGAACGCUGGCGGCGUGCUUAACACAUGCAAGUCGAACGGAAAGGCCCUGCUUUUGUGGGGUGCUCGAGUGGCGAACGGGUGAGUAACACGUGAGUAACCUGCCCUUGACUUUGGGAUAACUUCAGGAAACUGGGGCUAAUACCGGAUAGGAGCUCCUGCUGCAUGGUGGGGGUUGGAAAGUUUCGGCGGUUGGGGAUGGACUCGCGGCUUAUCAGCUUGUUGGUGGGGUAGUGGCUUACCAAGGCUUUGACGGGUAGCCGGCCUGAGAGGGUGACCGGCCACAUUGGGACUGAGAUAGGGCCCAGACUGCUACGGGAGGCAGCAGUGGGGAAUAUUGCACAAUGGGGGGAAGCCUGAUGCAGCAACGCCGCGUGCGGGAUGACGGCCUUCGGGUUGUAAACCGCUUUCGCCUGUGACGAAGCGUGAGUGACGGUAAUGGGUAAAGAAGCACCGGCUAACUACGUG